rnacentral:lncRNA from 1 species
CCCGCUUCGAAUUAUUGCCCGAGGAGGGGCUCACACCUGGUUAGCUAGUUGGUGAGAUAAUAGCUUACCAAGGCUUAAACUCAACCCGAAACACGUUGAUACUCCUCCUUUAACCUCCCGUGCAAACCAUGACCUCCAAACCCGACCCGAAUGUUUCUCCGGUAUACACGACCGUUUGACUUCAUUCCGGUGCCAUUUGGUUCAGUUUUUAUGGCAAGUAAAGAUCCCUAUCAAUGAAUCAUCCACUAACAAUCCAUAAUUAACACCAUUAGAUCGAAUUUAUACUCCAUUAAAGCAUCCUUAUUAUUAUCAAGCACACAAUUGGGUUCUCUAUCAAAACAAGAAAUUGGUUUGUAAAACUUGUACUCGCUGAACUCUUGACACUUUAUACACCAAACCCCAUUGAGAUUUCCUCAUUUCAUCAACCAUGUAUCGCGAAUCAAUCCGAAGAAGUUUAUAGGGCUCGUAUUUUCAAACAAUGAUUUCUCCUUCAAUUCUUAUCCAAAUCAGGUUAAUAGACUUGUAUUGGGCCCCCAACUUGAUAAUGCAAUCAACAGGUCGUUAGGUGCUUAGAUGGAGCUUGCACAGGAGGACGGGAUCGUUGUGGGACAUGGACUGUUGAGUUCCAUGUUAAACUUAUGAACUUUUAAACUUACGUUUUGGGUUUUGAACUUUAUGCUUCCGCUGAUAACUUGAACUUGUUGAAUUGUUUGACACUAAUUAUAUUGUUUGGUUUGGACUUUUAUU